rnacentral:snRNA from 1 species
AGCUUUGCACAGUGGCAGUAUUGUAGCCAAUGAGGUUUAUCCGAGGUGCGAUUAUUGCUAAUUGAAAACUUUUCCCAAUACCCCGCCAUGACGACUUGAAAUAUAGUCAGCAUUGGCAAUUUUUGACAGUCUCUACAGAGA